rnacentral:rRNA from 1 species
UACGGAGGGGGCGAGCGUUAUUCGGAAUUAUUGGGCGUAAAGGGCGCGUAGGCGGCCCGGUAAGUCAAAGGUGAAAUCCCUCGGCUCAACUGAGGAACUGCCUUUGAAACUGUCGGGCUUGAGGCCGGGAGGGGGUAGCGGAAUUCCCAGUGUAGCGGUGAAAUGCGUAGAUAUUGGGAGGAACACCAGUGGCGAAGGCGGCUACCUGGCCCGGUACUGACGCUGAGGUGCGAAAGCGUGGGGAGCAAACAGG